UUGUGUUUGCACACUCUUCACCCUGCUCCUGCCCACUCUGCUUGUCACCUGCCCCCUGAUAACCCCAUCACUCCUGAAAGAUCCUGAGUGCCUGGAUUUUGUCAUCCAGCCCUGCAGGAUGUUCCCAUUUGUCCUGAGGAAGGCUGUCCCAGACAGAGAGGAGGAGAUGGAGGUGGAUAUUGAGAUUGAUAGAGAGGAGGAGAUGGAGGUGGAUGUGGAGGUGGAAGAAGAGAUGGAGGUGGAUGUGGAAGAGUCCAUUGAGGACAUGGACAUUGAUUAAGAAGGUGCGACGGACACCACAGAGACACCACCCUUUUGUAUAUAUGUUCUGCAGUUUGUUGUUUUCCUUUAGAAUAUAGAGUUUAGGGCAAUUUUUGACUUCUGUAAAUACGUUUCCCAUAGUUUUGCUAGGUA